CCCAUCAGCUGGCUUGUGACUUGGAUCCCGGGAGCUGGGUGUGGGGACUGGGGGCUCCAGGUAACCCUUCUCUGGCUUGCCCUUGAUAUCCCCCAAAGGAUUGCAGUGUGGAAGAGGAGGUUGCAUCAAAGACCUCCGGGCUUCCCCAGAAAGAGCAAACAAUGGGAUUCAACGUGUUCAUGCCUCCCCCGGCCAUGAGAAAGAAAUUUACCACGUCCAGAUGGGCUUACAGGUGACGUCUACAAAUAUCA